UACGUAGGUGGCAAGCGUUAUCCGGAAUUAUUGGGCGUAAAGAGCGCGCAGGUGGUUAAUUAAGUCUGAUGUGAAAGCCCACGGCUUAACCGUGGAGGGUCAUUGGAAACUGGUUGACUUGAGUGCAGAAGAGGGAAGUGGAAUUCCAUGUGUAGCGGUGAAAUGCGUAGAGAAAUGGAGGAACACCAGUGGCGAAGGCGGCUUCCUGGUCUGCAACUGACACUGAGGCGCGAAAGCGUGGGGAGCAAACAGG
rnacentral:rRNA from 1 species